rnacentral:rRNA from 1 species
CUUGUACACACCGCCCGUCACACCAUGGGAGUGGGUUGCACCAGAAGUAGCUAGUCUAACCCUCGGGAGGACGGUUACCACGGUGUGAUUCAUGACUGGGGUGAAGUCGUAACAAGGUAGCCGUAGGGGAACCUGCGGCUGGAUCACCUCCUUAA